rnacentral:lncRNA from 1 species
UUGUGCUACUGAAAAUAAUUUCUAUACACAAACUUUUAAACAACUUUGUUUUCUCCAUUCCUUUCAGAUUUUGAGGCAGUUAUUUCUUUUUGGAGUACUGUAGGAGCAUGUGAACCCAAAGCUACAAAGAAGAAGCUAAAUGUAAAAGUUCAGUCAUCAGUAAUUUACAGCUGACCUACGCAUAAGGCCAGAACAGUCCACAGAACGUCUGUUAUCUGUACUGCAAAAUAGCUGCCACUAAAACUAAAAAGUCACAGAGGUCAAACUAGUCAAGACAUAUUCAUCCAUCAGGAGUAGCAUCUCAUGCUUGCAGCAGCUGCCAUAACCAGAGUCUUUAAAGUGCUUUUAUUUGAGAUGAGAUGGAAUCAUUGGAAAGGCAAUUAGAAUGGCUCUGGCACCUUUGAGGCAGUCACAUUUUAUAUUCAAUUGCCCCUUUGUAUGACAUUUGGGUAAGUCAUUUUGACUUCUAUAAAUCAGUUCUAAAACCAUAAGCAGUUGAAGUUAAGGAUCUAUCAUCCUUAGAACUGUUCAUCUAAAA